UACAGAGGGUGCGAGCGUUGUUCGGAAUUACUGGGCGUAAAGCGCGCGCAGGCGGCUUCUUAAGUCCGUCGGUCAAAAGCCGGGGCUCAACCCCGUGCUCGCCGAGGAUACUGGGAGGCUGGAGACACGUAGAGGCAAGCGGAAUUCCGGGUGUAGUGGUGGAAUGCGUAGAGAUCCGGAAGAACACCGGAGGCGAAGGCGGCUUGCUGGGCGUGAUCUGACGCUGAGGCGCGAAAGCGUGGGGAGCGAACAGG
rnacentral:rRNA from 1 species